UGAGGAAUUUUGCUCAAUGGGCGAAAGCCUGAAGCAGCGACGCCGCGUGAACGAUGAAGUCUUUCGGGAUGUAAAGUUCUGUCAGCAGGGAAAAUAAUGAUGGUACCUGCAGAGGAAGCACCGGCAAACUAUGUGCCAGCAGCCGCGGUAAUACAUAGGGUGCAAGCGUUGUCCGGAUUUACUGGGCGUAAAGGGCGUGUAGGCGGUAAUUCAAGUCAAACUUAAAAUCCUGGGGCUCAACCCCAGUUCGGGUUUGAUACUGUUUUACUUGAGAGUGGGAGAGGAAAGCGGAACUAACAGUGUAGCGGUGAAAUGCGUAGAUAUUGUUAGGAACACCCGUGGCGAAGGCGGCUUUCUGGAUCACUUCUGACGCUGAGACGCGAGAGCGUGGGGAUCAAACAGG
rnacentral:rRNA from 1 species